rnacentral:rRNA from 1 species
GAUUCUGGCUCAGGAUGAACGCUGGCGGCGUGCCUAACACAUGCAAGUCGAACGGACCUGUUUGAAUGCGGCUUCGGCCAAAGGAUUACAAGGUUAGUGGCGGACGGGUGAGUAACGCGUGGAGAACCUGCCCUGUACAGGGGGAUAACAGUUAGAAAUGACUGCUAAUACCGCAUAAGCGCACAGUACCGCAUGGUAGAGUGUGAAAAACUCCGGUGGUACAGGAUGGCUCCGCGUUGGGUUAGCCAGUUGGCGGGGUAACGGCCCACCAAAGCGACGAUCCAUAGCCGGCCUGAGAGGGUGAACGGCCACAUUGGGACUGAGACACGGCCCAGACUCCUACGGGAGGCAGCAGUGGGGAAUAUUGCACAAUGGGGGGAACCCCGAUUGCAGCGACGCCGCGUGAAGGAAGAAGUAUCUCGGUAUGUAAACUUCUAUCAGCAGGGAAGAAAAUGACGGUACCUGACUAAGAAGCCCCGGCUAACUACGUGCCAGCCGCAGC